GAUGAAGAACGCAGUGAAAUGCGAUAACUAAUGUGAAUUGCAGAAUUCCGUGAAUCAUCGAGUCUUUGAACGCACAUUGCGCCCCCUGGUAUUCCGGGGGGCAUGCCUGUCCGAGCGUCAUUGCUGCCCUCAAGCACGGCUUGUGUGUUGGGCCCCGUCCUCCGAUCCCGGGGGACGGGCCCGAAAGGCAGCGGCGGCACCGCGUCCGGUCCUCGAGCGUAUGGGGCUUUGUCACCCGCUCUGUAGGCCCGGCCGGCGCUUGCCGAUCAACCCAAAUUUUUAUCCAGGUUGACCUCGGAUCAGGUAGGGAUACCCGCUGAACUUAAGCAUAUCAAUAAGCGGAGGA
rnacentral:misc_RNA from 1 species